CCAAACUGGGAUUAGAUACCCCACUAUGCUCAGCCCUAAACAUAAAUAAUUAUCACAACAAAAUUAUCUGCCAGAGAACUACUAGCAAUAGCUUAAAACUCAAAGGACUUGGCGGUGCUUUACAUCCCUCUAGAGGAGCCUGUUCUAUAAUCGAUAAACCCCGAUAGACCUCACCACUUCUAGCUUAAUCAGUCUAUAUACCGCCAUCUUCAGCAAACCCUUAAAGGGAAGAAAAGUAAGCACAAUAAUAUUACAUAAAAAAGUUAGGUCAAGGUGUAACCCAUGAAGUGGGAAGAAAUGGGCUACAUUUUCUAACCAAGAACACACUCACGAAAGUUUUUAUGAAAACUAAAAACUAAAGGUGGAUUUAGUAGUAAAUUAAGAAUAGAGAGCUUAAUUGAAUAGGGCCAUGAAGCACGCACACACCGCCCGUCACCCUCC
rnacentral:rRNA from 1 species